rnacentral:rRNA from 1 species
GACGAACGCUGGCGGCGUGCCUAAUACAUGCAAGUUGAGCGAUGAAGAUUGGUGCUUGCACCAAUUUGAAGAGCAGCGAACGGGUGAGUAACGCGUGGGGAAUCUGCCUUUGAGCGGGGGACAACAUUUGGAAACGAAUGCUAAUACCGCAUAACAACUUUAAACAUAAGUUUUAAGUUUGAAAGAUGCAAUUGCAUCACUCAAAGAUGAUCCCGCGUUGUAUUAGCUAGUUGGUGAGGUAAAGGCUCACCAAGGCGAUGAUACAUAGCCGACCUGAGAGGGUGAUCGGCCACAUUGGGACUGAGACACGGCCCAAACUCCUACGGGAGGCAGCAGUAGGGAAUCUUCGGCAAUAGACGAAAGUCUGACCGAGCAACGCCGCGUGAGUGAAGAAGGUUUUCGGAUCGUAAAACUCUGUUGGUAGAGAAGAACGUUGGUGAGAGUGGAAAGCUCAUCAAGUGACGGUAACUACCCAGAAAGGGACGGCUAACUACGUG